rnacentral:rRNA from 1 species
ACGAACGCUGGCGGCGUGCUUAACACAUGCAAGUCGAACGGAAAGGCCCUGCUUUUGUGGGGUGCUCGAGUGGCGAACGGGUGAGUAACACGUGAGUAACCUGCCCUUGACUUUGGGAUAACUUCAGGAAACUGGGGCUAAUACCGGAUAGGAGCUCCUGCUGCAUGGUGGGGGUUGGAAAGUUUCGUCGGUUGGGGAUGGACUCGCGGCUUAUCAGCUUGUUGGUGGGGUAGUGGCUUACCAAGGCUUUGACGGGUAGCCGGCCUGAGAGGGUGACCGGCCACAUUGGGACUGAGAUACGGCCCAGACUCCUACGGGAGGCAGCAGUGGGGAAUAUUGCACAAUGGGCGGAAGCCUGAUGCAGCAACGCCGCGUGCGGGAUGACGGCCUUCGGGUUGUAAACCGCUUUCGCCUGUGACGAAGCGUGAGUGACGGUAAUGGGUAAAGAAGCACCGGCUAACUACGUG